rnacentral:rRNA from 1 species
UACGUAGGGCGCAAGCGUUGUCCGGAAUUAUUGGGCGUAAAGAGCUCGUAGGCGGUUCGUCACGUCGGCUGUGAAAACCUGAGGCUCAACCUCAGGCCUGCAGUCGAUACGGGCGGACUCGAGUUCGGCAGGGGAGACUGGAAUUCCUGGUGUAGCGGUGAAAUGCGCAGAUAUCAGGAGGAACACCGGUGGCGAAGGCGGGUCUCUGGGCCGAUACUGACGCUGAGGAGCGAAAGCGUGGGGAGCGAACAGG